CUUUGAAACAUCCGCCGUGUGUAAAAAAAAAAUUAGAAAGGAAAGUCUGUCUAGAUCCAAAUCAACAAUUUCUUACACCGAUUCGAUCCAUCCAAAUUUUGUAGAUUAAUCGUGGGAGCCGAUACAGAGGUUGAUAAAACUGCACUUCAUUGUAUCAUACUUUUAACAUGAAAAGUUAAAGAAGAAUUGAAUCUUAAAAAAUUGAAAAGGAAAUUCGUAAUCAAGUGGAGAGAAUAUAGGAAGAAUACAAAGGAAUAAUAUUUAUAUAAUUUAAUAAUAUAUGGCAAUGGCAGGGUUGUAAAUAAGUUAGAACUUGAGGAAUUUUUUCAUAAAUGUUUAUGAAAAUGUAUAUAUAGAUAUGGUUAUAUAGUAGAUGGUUAUAAAGAGGA